AUUGAACGCUGGCGGCAGGCCUAACACAUGCAAGUCGAGCGAGCGGCGGACGGGUGAGUAAUGUAUGGGGACUGCCCGAUAGAGGGGGAUAACUACUGGAUACGGUAGCUAAUAACGCAUACUAUCGGAUAACCCAUAUGGGAUUAGCUAGUGGGUGAGGUAAUGGCUCACCUAGGCGACGAUCCCUAGCUGGUCUGAGAGGGUGAACAGCCACCCUGGGACUGAGACACGGCCCAGACUCCUACGGAGGCCGCAGUGGGGCAUAGUGCACAAUGGGCGCAAGCCUGAUGCAGCCAUGCCGCGUGUAUGAAGAAGGCCCUAGGGUUGUAAAGUACUUUCAGUCGGGAGGCGUUACCGACAGAAGAAGCACCGGCUAACUCCGUGCCAGCAGCCGCGGUAAUUC
rnacentral:rRNA from 1 species